GAUGAACGCUGGCGGCGUGCCUAAUACAUGCAAGUCGAGCGAACAGACGAGGAGCUUGCUCCUCUGACGUUAGCGGCGGACGGGUGAGUAACACGUGGAUAACCUACCUAUAAGACUGGGAUAACUUCGGGAAACCGGAGCUAAUACCGGAUAAUAUAUUGAACCGCAUGGUUCAAUAGUGAAAGACGGUUUUGCUGUCACUUAUAGAUGGAUCCGCGCCGCAUUAGCUAGUUGGUAAGGUAACGGCUUACCAAGGCAACGGUGCGUAGCCGACCUGAGAGGGUGAUCGGCCACACUGGAACUGAGACACGGUACAGACUCCUACGGGAGGCAGCAGUAGGGAAUCUUCCGCAAUGGGCGAAAGCCUGACGGAGCAACGCCGCGUGAGUGAUGAAGGUCUUCGGAUCGUAAAACUCUGUUAUUAGGGAAGAACAAAUGUGUAAGUAACUAUGCACGUCUUGACGGUACCUAAUCAGAAAGCCACGGCUAACUACGUG
rnacentral:rRNA from 1 species